AUGUGUUACGCAGCCAAUCUCGAGACCGGCGCAGAAUUGAUUGAAUACGACUGCUCUGAAAAGCUGGGCUAUUUCUGCAGUAAAUUAAAACCACGUUCUACUAAUGACUUCGAUUGCGAAUACGCGAACGCGGCUCGGUGGUCUCGGCGUCCGGUUUGUGUGAGCAAUGUUGGAAUGAACUUGGGGGAGUCCGUAACGCAAUGCACAAAACUGGGCAUGGAUCUUCUCCCUGCUGGUCUCGACCACAAAGAAUACGCAGUCAUUGUAAAAAACUACUUCCUACUAUUCAUGGUUCCGAGGCCGCAUUUAGCCCUGUGGCUCGACACACC